UCCCCAGGACCUCUGGGAGGAAUCUGUUCAAUAUUUAUCAGCUGCUGCAGCAGCUGAACUAACCCGCAGUAGCCAGCACACGAUCUGCUCUAACCACAACUCCAGAAACAAAGAUGGAGUCUGGGCCCAGGCUGUGGCCGGAGACACUGCAGGAGACGGUGGUGGAACUUGCUUCUGGGCAUGGCCAGCUCCCUGUGGGUCUCCGUCUAGUCCCUGCCCUUGGCUUGCAUGUGUUUCUGAGAACUGCUCUGAAGUGCCCAAUCCACCCCACGCCUGUCCCGGCCACUGAGGCCUGGACACAGCAGUGCACCCAGGCCUGCCCUGUGGAACAGCUUUGGGAAGCUCCAGGAGCAGAUUUCCCAGAAGUUAGGAGUAGACAAGGGCAGGGUACUUUGGUUGCUGAUUGCCACUUUGGGGACCAGCCUCACCCCUGUUUCUUUUCACUGUUGAUGCUGGGUAAAUUCCCCCCUCUUCUUGCAAGUCAUAGUUAGGCCAGCCGCCUCAAUUCCUUCACAUCCUUGGGUGCAUCUCUGAGCAGGGCUGGACCCUCAACCUGCCUGUGGCUUGGCCACAUCUGUAGAACCAGGCACAGUAAGUGUGAACAUUUCCAGAGUGUGGCUCAUCAGGCAGCCUGGCCUCCCUACCACAGCUUGGUUGAGAAACUUGCUAAAGUGGCCAUGGGGACAGGGCAUUCACUGCCUUGGUCUCUGUGCUCUGUGCACCUGGGGUGAGU
rnacentral:lncRNA from 1 species